rnacentral:rRNA from 2 species
GAGUUUGAUCCUGGCUCAGAUUGAACGCUGGCGGCAGGCCUAACACAUGCAAGUCGAGCGGAUGAGAGGAGCUUGCUCCUUGAUUCAGCGGCGGACGGGUGAGUAAUGCCUAGGAAUCUGCCUGAUAGUGGGGGACAACGUUUCGAAAGGAACGCUAAUACCGCAUACGUCCUACGGGAGAAAGCAGGGGACCUUCGGGCCUUGCGCUAUCAGAUGAGCCUAGGUCGGAUUAGCUAGUAGGUGAGGUAAUGGCUCACCUAGGCGACGAUCCGUAACUGGUCUGAGAGGAUGAUCAGUCACACUGGAACUGAGACACGGUCCAGACUCCUACGGGAGGCAGCAGUGGGGAAUAUUGGACAAUGGGCGAAAGCCUGAUCCAGCCAUGCCGCGUGUGUGAAGAAGGUCUUCGGAUUGUAAAGCACUUUAAGUUGGAGGAAGGGCUGCAAGUUAAUACCUUGUAGUUUUGACGUUACCAACAGAAUAAGCACCGGCUAACUUCGUGCCA